rnacentral:rRNA from 1 species
ACCUACGGGGCGCAGCAGUGGGGAAUAUUGCACAAUGGGGGAAACCCUGAUGCAGCGACGCCGCGUGAGUGAAGAAGUAUUUCGGUAUGUAAAGCUCUAUCAGCAGGGAAGAAAAUGACGGUACCUGACUAAGAAGCCCCGGCUAACUACGUGCCAGCAGCCGCGGUAAUACGUAGGGGGCAAGCGUUAUCCGGAUUUACUGGGUGUAAAGGGAGCGUAGGCGGCAAGGUAAGCCAGAAGUGAAAGCCCGGGGCUCAACCCCGGGACUGCAUUGGAAACUACCGAACUAGAGUGUCGGAGAGGUA